UUAAAUUGAAGAGUUUGAUCAUGGCUCAGAUUGAACGCUGGCGGCAGGCCUAACACAUGCAAGUCGAACGGUAACAGGAAACAGCUUGCUGUUUCGCUGACGAGUGGCGGACGGGUGAGUAAUGUCUGGGAAACUGCCUGAUGGAGGGGGAUAACUACUGGAAACGGUAGCUAAUACCGCAUAACGUCGCAAGACCAAAGAGGGGGACCCUCGGGCCUCUUGCCAUCGGAUGUGCCCAGAUGGGAUUAGCUUGUUGGUGGGGUAACGGCUCACCAAGGCGACGAUCCCUAGCUGGUCUGAGAGGAUGACCAGCCACACUGGAACUGAGACACGGUCCAGACUCCUACGGGAGGCAGCAGUGGGGAAUAUUGCACAAUGGGCGCAAGCCUGAUGCAGCCAUGCCGCGUGUAUGAAGAAGGCCUUCGGGUUGUAAAGUACUUUCAGCGGGGAGGAAGGGAGUAAAGUUAAUACCUUUGCUCAUUGACGUUACCCGCAGAAGAAGCACCGGCUAACUCCGUGCCAGCAGCCGCGGUAAUACGGAGGGUGCAAGCGUUAAUCGGAAUUACUGGGCGUAAAGCGCACGCAGGCGGUU
rnacentral:rRNA from 1 species